rnacentral:rRNA from 1 species
CAGUAGCCGCGGUAAUACGAAGGGGGCUAGCGUUGCUCGGAAUCACUGGGCGUAAAGGGUGCGUAGGCGAGUUUUUAAGUCAGAGGUGAAAUCCUGGAGCUCAACUCCAGAACUGCCUUUGAUACUGAAAGUCUUGAGUAUGGGAGAGGUGAGUGGAACUGCGAGUGUAGAGGUGAAAUUCGUAGAUAUUCGCAAGAACACCAGUGGCGAAGGCGGCUCACUGGCCCAUAACUGACGCUGAGGCACGAAAGCGUGGGGAGCAAACAGGAUUAGAUACCCCUGUAGUCCCUGUCUCUUAUAC